GGGUUGUGAGGUUAAGCGACUAAGCGUACACGGUGGAUGCCCUGGCAGUCAGAGGCGAUGAAGGACGUGCUAAUCUGCGAUAAGCGUCGGUAAGGUGAUAUGAACCGUUAUAACCGGCGAUUUCCGAAUGGGGAAACCCAGUGUGUUUCGACACACUAUCAUUAACUGAAUCCAUAGGUUAAUGAGGCGAACCGGGGGAACUGAAACAUCUAAGUACCCCGAGGAAAAGAAAUCAACCGAGAUUCCCCCAGUAGCGGCGAGCGAACGGGGAGCAGCCCAGAGCCUGAAUCAGUGUGUGUGUUAGUGGAAGCGUCUGGAAAGGCGUGCGAUACAGGGUGACAGCCCCGUACACAAAAAUGCACAUGCUGUGAGCUCGAUGAGUAGGGCGGGACACGUGGUAUCCUGUCUGAAUAUGGGGGGACCAUCCUCCAAGGCUAAAUACUCCUGACUGACCGAUAGUGAACCAGUACCGUGAGGGAAAGGCGAAAAGAACCCCGGCGAGGGGAGUGAAAAAGAACCUGAAACCGUGUACGUACAAGCAGUGGGAGCACAGAGCAAUCUGUGUGACUGCGUACCUUUUGUAUAAUGGGUCAGCGACUUAUAUUCUGUAGCAAGGUUAACCGAAUAGGGGAGCCGAAGGGAAACCGAGUCUUAACUGGGCGUUAAGUUGCAGGGUAUAGACCCGAAACCCGGUGAUCUAGCCAUGGGCAGGUUGAAGGUUGGGUAACACUAACUGGAGGACCGAACCGACUAAUGUUGAAAAAUUAGCGGAUGACUUGUGGCUGGGGGUGAAAGGCCAAUCAAACCGGGAGAUAGCUGGUUCUCCCCGAAAGCUAUUUAGGUAGCGCCUCGUGAAUUCAUCUCCGGGGGUAGAGCACUGUUUCGGCAAGGGGGUCAUCCCGACUUACCAACCCGAUGCAAACUGCGAAUACCGGAGAAUGUUAUCACGGGAGACACACGGCGGGUGCUAACGUCCGUCGUGAAGAGGGAAACAACCCAGACCGCCAGCUAAGGUCCCAAAGUCAUGGUUAAGUGGGAAACGAUGUGGGAAGGCCCAGACAGCCAGGAUGUUGGCUUAGAAGCAGCCAUCAUUUAAAGAAAGCGUAAUAGCUCACUGGUCGAGUCGGCCUGCGCGGAAGAUGUAACGGGGCUAAACCAUGCACCGAAGCUGCGGCAGCGACACUAUGUGUUGUUGGGUAGGGGAGCGUUCUGUAAGCCUGUGAAGGUGUGCUGUGAGGCAUGCUGGAGGUAUCAGAAGUGCGAAUGCUGACAUAAGUAACGAUAAAGCGGGUGAAAAGCCCGCUCGCCGGAAGACCAAGGGUUCCUGUCCAACGUUAAUCGGGGCAGGGUGAGUCGACCCCUAAGGCGAGGCCGAAAGGCGUAGUCGAUGGGAAACAGGUUAAUAUUCCUGUACUUGGUGUUACUGCGAAGGGGGGACGGAGAAGGCUAUGUUGGCCGGGCGACGGUUGUCCCGGUUUAAGCGUGUAGGCUGGUUUUCCAGGCAAAUCCGGAAAAUCAAGGCUGAGGCGUGAUGACGAGGCACUACGGUGCUGAAGCAACAAAUGCCCUGCUUCCAGGAAAAGCCUCUAAGCAUCAGGUAACAUCAAAUCGUACCCCAAACCGACACAGGUGGUCAGGUAGAGAAUACCAAGGCGCUUGAGAGAACUCGGGUGAAGGAACUAGGCAAAAUGGUGCCGUAACUUCGGGAGAAGGCACGCUGAUAUGUAGGUGAAGUCCCUCGCGGAUGGAGCUGAAAUCAGUCGAAGAUACCAGCUGGCUGCAACUGUUUAUUAAAAACACAGCACUGUGCAAACACGAAAGUGGACGUAUACGGUGUGACGCCUGCCCGGUGC
rnacentral:rRNA from 1 species